rnacentral:rRNA from 1 species
UACGUAGGGGGCAAGCGUUGUCCGGAUUUAUUGGGCGUAAAGAGCGUGUAGGCGGCCAUGUAGGUCCGUUGUGAAAACUCGAGGCUCAACCUCGAGACGCCGAUGGAAACCAUGUGGCUAGAGUCCGGAAGAGGAGAGUGGAAUUCCGUGGUGUAGCGGUGAAAUGCGCAGAUAUCAGGAAGAACACCCGUGGCUAAGGCGGCUCUCUAGUACGGUACUGACGCUGAGACGCGAAAGCGUGGGGAGCGAACAGG